rnacentral:lncRNA from 1 species
GCGGCGUCCGCACCCGCACGCACACCCGGCCACGCUCGCACUCGCGCGGCCGCGGGGCCGGCUGCUUACCUCCGGGGCCUCAUGGUCGCGUCGCUAGCCUGGGUGUGAGAGGGGGAGAGGGUGUGAGGACGUGUGUGGCGUUCAGUCCCGAAGGACGGGGCGGAGGAAGGGGCCUGGAGUCUGUCACUUCCUGAGGGAGCGCGGAGGUCGAGAGACCUAUGCCCUGGACAUCAUUCCGAACAGCACAAUUCAAGGGUGGCUGAAACAACAAAAAUGUAACGUCUUACAGAUCUGAAGGCUUCCGGGUCGAUUCUGGACUGUGAUGAGAAUCUGUGCCAAGCCUCUCUCCUGGCUUCUGGUAGACUCGGGCAUUCCUUAGCUUGUAAAUGGCUGCUGCUUGUGUCAUCACAUUGUCUUCCCUUUCUACUUAUCUGUCCCCAUGCCCCAAUUUUUCCUUUUCAGGACACCAGUCAGAUUAGGACCCACCCUAAUGAUCUCAUCUUAACUUGAUUAACUACAAGGACCCUAUUUUUAAGUACACAUUUACAGAGACUGGGGGGUAGGACUUCAACAUCUUUUUGGAGGGAUGCAGUUCAACCCAUAACAAGAAUCAUUGUUAGAAAUGAUUUUGCUUCUUCACUGAAAAAUUAAUAUCAUUCUGCAGAGAACUGACUUGCUGCACAUGGCACAGAUUUUUUGCAUUUAUCAUAGUAAAAGAAAUCAGUCACAAAAGUUUGUUUUAGACUGCUACAUACCUAUCACAAAUACAAAUUAUUUCCAACAUCAAAAGUUAAUAAAGCAAGCACUGUCACCCAAAUUAUAUUGUAUCUAUUGAGCACUCCCUUAUGUACAGAAGAGGAAAAUGAGAAAUGAACAGGAAGUUUAACAUUCAUAAAAACUGUUGGCUGGGCGCGGUGGGUCACUCCUGUAAUCCCAGCACUUUGGGAGACCGAGGUGGGUGGAUCACCUGAUAUCAGGAGUUCAAUACCAGCUGGCCAACAUGGUGACACCGCGUCUCUACUGAAAAUACAAAAAUUAGCCGGGCGUGGUGGCGGGCGCCUGUAGUCCCAGCUACUCCGGGGGCUG